rnacentral:tRNA from 1 species
CCGUUAGCUCAGUUGGUAGAGCAACUGACUCUUAAUCAGUGGGUCUAGGGUUCGAGUCCCUA